rnacentral:rRNA from 1 species
GUGGGGAAUUUUGGACAAUGGGCGCAAGCCUGAUCCAGCAAUGCCGCGUGCAGGAAGAAGGCCUUCGGGUUGUAAACUGCUUUUGUACGGAACGAAACGGUCCUGGUUAAUACCUGGGGCUAAUGACGGUACCGUAAGAAUAAGCACCGGCUAACUACGUGCCAGCAGCCGCGGUAAUACGUAGGGUGCAAGCGUUAAUCGGACUUACUGGGCGUAAAGCGUGCGCAGGCGGUUUUGUAAGACAGGCGUGAAAUCCCCGGGCUCAACCUGGGAAUUGCGCUUGGGACUGGAAGGCUGGAGUGCGGCAGAGGGGGAUGGAAUUCCGCGUGUAGCAGUGAAAUGCGUAGAUAUGCGGAGGAACACCGAUGGCGAAGGCAAUCCCCUGGGCCUGCACUGACGCUCAUGCACGAAAGCGUGGGGAGCAAACAGGAUUAGAAACCCCUGUAGUCC